rnacentral:rRNA from 1 species
CCUACGGGAGGCAGUAGUGAGGAAUAUUGGUCAAUGGACGAGAGUCUGAACCAGCCAAGUAGCGUGAAGGAUGACUGCCCUAUGGGUUGUAAACUUCUUUUAUAUGGGAAUAAAAUGUUCCACGUGUGGGAUUUUGUAUGUACCAUAUGAAUAAGGAUCGGCUAACUCCGUGCCAGCAGCCGCGGUAAUACGGAGGAUCCGAGCGUUAUCCGGAUUUAUUGGGUUUAAAGGGAGCGUAGGUGGAUUGUUAAGUCAGUUGUGAAAGUUUGCGGCUCAACCGUAAAAUUGCAGUUGAAACUGGCAGUCUUGAGUACAGUAGAGGUGGGCGGAAUUCGUGGUGUAGCGGUGAAAUGCUUAGAUAUCACGAAGAACUCCGAUUGCGAAGGCAGUUCACUGGACUGCAACUGACACUGAGGCUCGAAAGUGUGGGUAUCAAACAGGAUUAGAUACCCGAGUAGUC